UACGUAGGGCGCAAGCGUUAUCCGGAAUUAUUGGGCGUAAAGAGCUCGUAGGCGGUUUGUCGCGUCUGCCGUGAAAGUCCGGGGCUCAACUCCGGAUCUGCGGUGGGUACGGGCAGACUAGAGUGAUGUAGGGGAGACUGGAAUUCCUGGUGUAGCGGUGAAAUGCGCAGAUAUCAGGAGGAACACCGGUGGCGAAGGCGGGUCUCUGGGCAGUAACUGACGCUGAGGAGCGAAAGCGUGGGGGAGCGAACAGG
rnacentral:rRNA from 1 species